UAGGGAAUCUUCCACAAUGGACGAAAGUCUGAUGGAGCAACGCCGCGUGAGUGAAGAGGGUUUUCGGAUCGUAAAGCUCUGUUGUUGGUGAAGAAGGAUAGAGGCAGUGACUGGUCUUUAUUUGACUGUAAUCAACCAGAAAGUCACGGCUAACUACGUGCUAG
rnacentral:rRNA from 1 species